CGCUUGUUGAUUAAUGGAUGUAGAGCAGUGUUAUUUAUUUUUCACUUCCAUCCAAGUAAAGCCAAGAAAAACUAUUGUGUCGUUAGGAUUACAUCUUGUCGAAUAUAAACAAUUAGAGAGGCAAUUGUUGACGGAUGUACGGACGGACAGAGGGAUGCCGGAGGAAUACCUAGUAGCUCAUCCUGAGCACCUCAUGUUAAGGUCAUGGAUUUGAGCCCCACACCGGCCGCACUUCCCCACCCAGGUUUACGUUAAUGGUCGCAGCGGUAAACUGCAGGAAGGCCUCUGUCAGCAUAAAAGAAUUGGGCUGAGACGCGCUACGCAGCGCAGUAUCUGCUCCCGAAGCGACGAAACCAGAUGUCGGAGGCGCUGCUCGGCUCUUGGAUUCAUAAAGCCGGGAUCUCUAGCUCACGAAGAUGAUGUUUCACAGAGGAGUUCAAAGACGGAGAACGAGAUAGACCGCUCAACCAGAACUAUAUCCAGCCAUGUACAAGGCGUCGUGCGUUCUCGUCUGCAUGCCUGUUUCCACAGCAACUGCUAUGACUGAGCCAUCGUUCACACGGUGGAUCACAGUACACCGGAUAUAGAAGCCCUAGCGAGACGUAAACAACGCAAUUUGGCAAUAAUUAUUUGUC